GGGGAUCUGCCCGAUAGAGGGGGAUUACUACUGGAAACGGUGGCUAAUACCGCAUAACGUCGCAAGACCAAAGAGGGGGACCUUCGGGCCUCUCACUAUCGGAUCAACCCAGAUGGGAUUAGCUAGUAGGCGGGGUAAUGGCCCACCUAGGCGACGAUCCCUAGCUGGUCUGAGAGGAUGACCAGCCACACUGGAACUGAGACACGGUCCAGACUCCUACGGGAGGCAGCAGUGGGGAAUAUUGCACAAUGGGCGCAAGCCUGAUGCAGCCAUGCCGCGUGUAUGAAGAAGGCCUUCGGGUUGUAAAGUACUUUCAGCGGGGAGGAAGGCGAUGCUUUUAAUAACCGCGUCGAUUGACGUUUUUUUGGGGGGGGAAGCACCGGCUAACUCCGUGCCAGCAGCCGCGGUAAUACGGAGGGUGCAAGCGUUAAUCGGAAUUACUGGGCGUAAAGCGCACGCAGGCGGUCUGUUAAGUCCGAUGUGAAAUCCCCCGGGCUUAACCUGGGAACUGCAUUUGAAACUGGGGAGGCUUGAAUCUUGUAGAGGGGGGG
rnacentral:rRNA from 1 species